CGCGUAGGUGGGAUAGUAAGUCUACUUUAAAAGUGCGGGGCUCAACCCCGUGAUGGGGUGGAAACUGCUAUUCUUGAGUGCAGGAGAGGAAAGCGGAAUUCCCAGUGUAGCGGUGAAAUGCGUAGAUAUUGGGAGGAACACCAGUGGCGAAGGCGGCUUUCUGGACUGUGUCUGACACUGAGGCGCGAAAGCUAGGGGAGCGAACGGGAUUAGAUACCCCGGUAGUCCACGCUGUAAACGAUGGAUACUAGGUGUAGGGGGCGUAGAGCCUUCUGUGCCGCAGCUAACGCAAUAAGUAUCCCGCCUGGGGAGUACGGCCGCAAGGUUGAA
rnacentral:rRNA from 1 species